AGGCAGCCUGGCUCAAGGACACUGAGGAGCAUGCCAGCAGCUGGAAGGCUGUGGGCGUCCUCAGCUAGUCUGGUCCGGAGAUGUUCUCUCUGGCACACUGCUUUUUCUCGGCUCUCCCCUCCCUGUACUGACCGGCCCCAAACGGACCAGCAACCGAGGCGCACUUCCCAGCAGCCGCCGGUAGGGGCGCCAGCGCAGCCUGGGCCUGUCCUCCCCGGUCCACGCCGCGACCCGCCCGCGGACUGCCGCCCCGUAGGCCAUGGAGCGCUAUCGCCAAAGUCACUGCUCACCACCUGCCACCCUUACGGGUGAAGCUUACGGUACCCGCGCCCCCGGGAAGGCACACGGGCUUGCAUUCAAGGCUUGCCAAGGCCCAGCCCUGGAUCCCAGGGAGGUCACGGCCCAGGGUUGACCUCUGAAGCCACCUCCUGUCUCCCCCUGGCUCCUCUGUCUCUGUGCAGAACCGUGGUGUGCCAGGCUCUGGCCAACCUGUGGCCUCUCCACCCUGAAAGAGUCCCCUUGAAAAGCCAAGGGGGAAGAAACCAGCCCCCAGCAGCGAACUCCAUAUAUACCAAGAGGUCCAUCCAUGUUGUCACAAGUGGUGAAACUUCAUUGUUUUAAGAGUUUAUUUGUCAGAGAGAGAGCACAAGGAGAAGGAGCAGCAAAGGCAGAGGAAGAAGCUGGCUCUCCACUGAGCAAGAAGCCCAAUGAGGGGCUCAAUCCCAGGACUGUGGAUCAUGACCUCGGUCGAAGACAGAAGCUUAACCAACUGAGCCACCCAGGCGUCCAGAACCUUCAUUCUUUUUUAAAGGCUGAGUUAUGUUCAUUGCAUAUAUAUACACACCACAUCAUCUUUAUCCAGUCAUCUGUCGGUGGACACUUGGGCUGCUUCCAUAUCAUGGCUAUUGCAAAUAAUGCUUCAAUAAACAUAGAGGUGCUGUAUCUUUUCAAA